rfam:Echinostoma caproni strain Egypt genome assembly, scaffold: ECPE_scaffold0008046
CACUACUGACGAGUCUCAAACAAGACGAAACAGCUGUCUAGGGC